CAUUGUAGUGCCUUCAACGCGACCCCAGGUCAGGCGGGAUUACCCGC
rnacentral:rRNA from 1 species